UACGUAGGGGGCAAGCGUUGUUCGGAAUUACUGGGCGUAAAGGGCUCGUAGGCGGCCAACUAAGUCAGACGUGAAAUCCCUCGGCUUAACCGGGGAACUGCGUCUGAUACUGGUUGGCUUGAAUCCGGGAGAGGGAUGUGGAAUUCCAGGUGUAGCGGUGAAAUGCGUAGAUAUCUGGAGGAACACCGGUGGCGAAGGCGGCAUCCUGGACCGGUAUUGACGCUGAGGAGCGAAAGCCAGGGGAGCAAACGGG
rnacentral:rRNA from 1 species